rnacentral:misc_RNA from 1 species
AAGUCGUAACAAGGUUUCCGUAGGUGAACCUGCGGAAGGAUCAUUACAAAUUUUCAUAUAUUAAAUUUAUUUAAUAUAUAAAAUUAUAUACAAAAAUGUAUUCAAAACCCACACACUUAUAACCAUAAAAAAAUAUAUAUUAUAUAUUUAUAAUAUAAUAAAAAAACAACUUUCAACAACGGAUCUCUUGGCUCUC